rnacentral:rRNA from 1 species
GCUUAACACAUGCAAGUCGAACGCGAACGCUUUCUUCGGAGAGUUAGUAGAGUGGCGCACGGGUGAGUAACGCGUAAGUAACCUGCCCUCGCAUCUGGGAUAACACAGCGAAAGGUGUGCUAAUACCGGAUACGCCUGCAUCAAUUCUAUUCAUGUAGAGAAAGGUAGCCUCUGACAUAAGUUACUGUGCGGGGAGGGGCUUGCGUACCAUUAGCUAGUUGGUAGGGUAACGGCCUACCGAGGCGACGAUGGUUAGCGGGUCUGAGAGGAUGAUCCGCCACACUGGAACUGGAACACGGACCAGACUCCUACGGGAGGCAGCAGUGAGGAAUAUUGCGCAAUGGGGGCAACCCUGACGCAGCGACGCCGCGUGGAUGAUGAAGGCCUUCGGGUUGUAAAAUCCUGUCAGAUGGGAAGAAGUGUGUAUUACCCAAUAGGUAAUACAUUUGACGGUACCAUCAAAGGAAGCACC